rnacentral:rRNA from 1 species
AGAGUUUGAUCAUGGCUCAGAACGAACGCUGGCGGCAGGCCUAACACAUGCAAGUCGAACGAGCUGAGACCUUCGGGUCUCGAUGCUAGUGGCGCACGGGUGAGUAACGCGUGGGAACGUACCCUUUAGUACGGAAUAACGCAGGGAAACUUGCGCUAAUACCGUAUACGCCCUUCGGGGGAAAGAUUUAUCGCUAAAGGAUCGGCCCGCGUCUGAUUAGGUAGUUGGUGAGGUAACGGCUCACCAAGCCGACGAUCAGUAGCUGGUCUGAGAGGAUGAUCAGCCACACUGGGACUGAGACACGGCCCAGACUCCUACGGGAGGCAGCAGUGGGGAAUAUUGGACAAUGGGCGAAAGCCUGAUCCAGCCAUGCCGCGUGAGUGAAGAAGGCCUUCGGGUUGUAAAGCUCUUUCGGCGGGGACGAUGAUGACGGUACCCGCAUAAGAAGCCCCGGCAAACUUCGUGCCAGCAGCCGCGGUA